rnacentral:rRNA from 1 species
CGAGGAAUAUUGGGCAAUGCCCGCAAGGGUGACCCAGCAACGCCGCGUGGAGGAUGAAUGUCGUAAGAUUGUAAACUCCUGUUAGAGGGGAAGAAUAGUACCGGUUGGACCGGUAUAUGACUGUACCCUCAGAGAAAGCCCCGGCUAACUACGUGCCAGCAGCCGCGGUAAUACGUAGGGGGCAAGCGUUGUCCGGAUUUACUGGGUGUAAAGGGCGCGCAGGCGGGAUAAAAAGUCAGUGGUGAAAUCCUACAGCUUAACUGUAGAACUGCCUUUGAUACUUUUAUUCUUGAGUUCGGGAGAGAGAGACGGAAUUCCAGGUGUAGUGGUGAAAUACGUAGAUAUCUGGAAGAACGCCAGUUGCGAAGGCGGUCUCUUGGUCCGACACUGACGCUGAGGCGCGAAAGCGUGGGGAGCAAACA